GGGAUACAGUCCUACUUCUCCAGGUUAUAGCCCUACUUCUCCAGGAUACAGCCCUACAUCUCCCGGUUAUAGUCCCACUUCUCCGACCUACAGUCCUAGCUCUCCUGGAUAUAGUCCUACAAGUCCUGCUUACUCUCCGACAAGUCCAUCAUAUUCGCCAACUUCUCCCAGCUACAGCCCGACCUCUCCCAGUUAUAGCCCUACAUCUCCUACUUAUAGUCCUACUUCCCCCAGUUACAGCCCAACUUCCCCCAGUUACAGUCCUACUUCGCCAAGCUACAGCCCUACUUCUCCAGUUUACAGUCCGACUUCCCCAGCCUACAGUCCAACAUCUCCUGCCUACAGCCCAACCUCACCAUCCUAUAGUCCAACAUCACCUUCCUAUAGUCCGACAUCACCUUCAUAUAGCCCAACAUCAC
rnacentral:lncRNA from 1 species